rnacentral:rRNA from 1 species
UACAGAGGGUGCGAGCGUUGUCCGGAAUCACUGGGCGUAAAGGGCGCGUAGGUGGCGGCCCAAGUCCAUGGUGAAAGCGCGGGGCUCAACUCCGCGUCGGCCAUUGAUACUGCUGGGCUGGAGCACUGUAGAGGCAGGCGGAAUUCCGGGUGUAGCGGUGAAAAUGCGUAGAGAUCGGGAGGAACACCAGAGGCGAAGGCGGCGACCUGGACAGUUACUGACACUCAAACUACGAAAAGCGUGGGGGAGCAAAACAGG